rnacentral:rRNA from 1 species
AUUGAACGCUGGCGGCAUGCCUAACACAUGCAAGUCGAACGAGUGGCGGACGGGUGAGUAAUGUCUGGGAAACUGCCCGUUGGAGGGGGAUAACUACUGGAAACGGUAGCUAAUACCGCAUACCAUCGGAUUGGCCCAUAUGGGAUUAGCUAGUUGGUGGGGUAACGGCUCACCUAGGCGACGAUCCCUAGCUGGUUUGAGAGGAGGACCAGCCACACUGGAACUGAGACACGGUCCAGACUCCUACGGGAGGCAGCAGUGGGGAAGAUUGGAAAAUGGGGGAAAGCCUGAUGCAGCCAUCCCGCGUGUAUGAAGAAGGCCUUCGGGUUGUAAAGUACUUUCAGCGGGGAGGCGUUACCCGCAGAAGAAGCACCGGCUAACUACGUGCCAGCAGCCGCGGUAAUAC